rnacentral:rRNA from 1 species
UACAGAGGGGGCAAGCGUUGUUCGGAAUUACUGGGCGUAAAGGGCGCGUAGGUGGCCUUCUAAGUCGAACGUGAAAUCCCCGGGCUCAACCCGGGAACUGCGUCCGAUACUGGAAGGCUUGAAUCCGGGAGAGGGAUGCGGAAUUCCAGGUGUAGCGGUGAAAUGCGUAGAUAUCUGGAGGAACACCGGUGGCGAAGGCGGUUCUCUGGGCAUUACCUGACGCUGAGGAGCGAAAGUGUGGGGAGCGAACAGG